rnacentral:tRNA from 1 species
GGGCGCUUAGCUCAGUUGGUAGAGCGUCUGCCUUACAAGCAGAAUGUCGGCGGUUCGAUCCCGUCAGCGCCCAC